GCCUGGGUGGCUCAGUCGGUUAAGCAUCUGACUGCAGCUCAGGUCAUUAUCUCAUGGUUUGUGGGUUCGAGACCCACAUCGGGCU
rnacentral:tRNA from 1 species